rnacentral:rRNA from 1 species
UACGAAGGGGGCUAGCGUUGCUCGGAAUCACUGGGCGUAAAGCGCACGUAGGCGGCUUCUUAAGUCAGGGGUGAAAUCCUGGAGCUCAACUCCAGAACUGCCUUUGAUACUGAGGAGCUUGAGUCCGGGAGAGGUGAGUGGAACUGCGAGUGUAGAGGUGAAAUUCGUAGAUAUUCGCAAGAACACCAGUGGCGAAGGCGGCUCACUGGCCCGGUACUGACGCUG